UCAUCUUCGGGGGUAGAGCACUGUUUCGGCUAGGGGGCCAUCCCGGCUUACCAACCCGAUGCAAACUACGAAUACCGAAGAAUGUUAUCACGGGAGACACACGGCGGGUGCUAACGUCCGUCGUGAAGAGGGAAACAACCCAGACCGCCAGCUAAGGUCCCAAAGUCAUGGUUAAGUGGGAAACGAUGUGGGAAGGCACAGACAGCCAGGAUGUUGGCUUAGAAGCAGCCAUCAUUUAAAGAAAGCGUAAUAGCUCACUGGUCGAGUCGGCCUGCGCGGAAGAUGUAACGGGGCUAAACCAUGCACCGAAGCUGCGGCAGCGACACUUAUGUGUUGUUGGGUAGGGGAGCGUUCUGUAAGCCGUUGAAGGUGUGCUGUGAGGCAUGCUGGAGGUAUCAGAAGUGCGAAUGCUGACAUAAGUAACGAUAAAGCGGGUGAAAAGCCCGCUCGCCGGAAGACCAAGGGUUCCUGUCCAACGUUAAUCGGGGCAGGGUGAGUCGACCCCUAAGGCGAGGCCGAAAGGCGUAGUCGAUGGGAAACAGGUUAAUAUUCCUGUACUUGGUGUUACUGCGAAGGGGGGACGGAGAAGGCUAUGUCAGCCGGGCGACGGUUGUCCCGGUUUAAGCAUGUAGGCGGAGGUUCCAGGUAAAUCCGGUACCUUGUUAACGCUGAGGUGUGAUGACGAGGCACUACGGUGCUGAAGUGAUAAAUGCCCUGCUUCCAGGAAAAGCCUCUAAGCAUCAGGUAACACGAAAUCGUACCCCAAACCGACACAGGUGGUCAGGUAGAGAAUACCAAGGCGCUUGAGAGAACUCGGGUGAAGGAACUAGGCAAAAUGGUGCCGUAACUUCGGGAGAAGGCACGCUGAUGUGUAGGUGAAGCCCCUGCGGGUGGAGCUGAAAUCAGUCGAAGAUACCAGCUGGCUGCAACUGUUUAUUAAAAACACAGCACUGUGCAAACACGAAAGUGGACGUAUACGGUGUGACGCCUGCCCGGUGCCGGAAGGUUAAUUGAUGGGGUUAGCGGCAACGCGAAGCUCUUGAUCGAAGCCCCGGUAAACGGCGGCCGUAACUAUAACGGUCCUAAGGUAGCGAAAUUCCUUGUCGGGUAAGUUCCGACCUGCACGAAUGGCGUAAUGAUGGCCAGGCUGUCUCCACCCGAGACUCAGUGAAAUUGAACUCGCUGUGAAGAUGCAGUGUACCCGCGGCAAGACGGAAAGACCCCGUGAACCUUUACUAUAGCUUGACACUGAACACUGGUCCUUGAUGUGUAGGAUAGGUGGGAGGCUUUGAAGCGUGGACGCCAGUCUGCGUGGAGCCAUCCUUGAAAUACCACCCUUUAAUGGCUGGUGUUCUAACGUAGACCCGUGAUCCGGGUUGCGGACAGUGUCUGGUGGGUAGUUUGACUGGGGCGGUCUCCUCCCAAAGAGUAACGGAGGAGCACGAAGGUUGGCUAAUCCUGGUCGGACAUCAGGAGGUUAGUGCAAUGGCAUAAGCCAGCUUGACUGCGAGCGUGACGGCGCGAGCAGGUGCGAAAGCAGGUCAUAGUGAUCCGGUGGUUCUGAAUGGAAGGGCCAUCGCUCAACGGAUAAAAGGUACUCCGGGGAUAACAGGCUGAUACCGCCCAAGAGUUCAUAUCGACGGCGGUGUUUGGCACCUCGAUGUCGGCUCAUCACAUCCUGGGGCUGAAGUAGGUCCCAAGGGUAUGGCUGUUCGCCAUUUAAAGUGGUACGCGAGCUGGGUUUAGAACGUCGUGAGACAGUUCGGUCCCUAUCUGCCGUGGGCGCUGGAGAAUUGAGGGGGGCUGCUCCUAGUACGAGAGGACCGGAGUGGACGCAUCACUGGUGUUCGGGUUGUCAUGCCAAUGGCACUGCCCGGUAGCUAAAUGCGGAAGAGAUAAGUGCUGAAAGCAUCUAAGCACGAAACUUGCCCCGAGAUGAGUUCUCCCUGAGACCUUGAGUCUCCUGAAGGAACGUUGAAGACGACGACGUUGAUAGGUCGGGUGUGUAAGCGCAGCGAUGCGUUGAGCUAACCGAUACUAAUGAACCGUGAGGCUUAACCUU
rnacentral:rRNA from 2 species